AAAACGGCCUUUCUCAAGGCCACAAAAUUU
rfam:Aedes albopictus isolate Foshan contig200100, whole genome shotgun sequence.